GUCAUGUAGAUGAGAUGAUAAUAAAUAUUAUCUCGCAAAGAUAAACGGUCAAUUCGGCCAAACGGGUCAAAAGGUGUAGACAUCACCUUUUGACAAUAUCGACUAAUGAUUCUGGUGUCGAGUUAUAUGUUUACAGGAGUAGAUAUCCAAUGGAUACUCGCAUCGCUCUUAAUUAGCAAUUAUAAAGCAAGGUGAAUGUCGAGGGUCCCGGAUGAAGAUCGAGCAUCGAGCAAGA
rnacentral:lncRNA from 1 species